GGGAAGGUAGCUCAAUGGUAGAGUGCUUGCCUUGCAUACAUGAGGCCUGGGUUCGAUUCCUCAGCUCCA
rnacentral:tRNA from 1 species